rnacentral:misc_RNA from 1 species
GCCUACUGUUUAAUUUUGAGGGUUCGUUUUUACGAAUACUCAAAAGUAGCACUUUAAUCAACAGAAUAUACUGAACGCAUGUGAAGUUUGUUUGUUGGCGCUGUGUGUUAGCACGUUAAGCAGCGGAAUUUGUUCGUUGGCGCUGUGCUUUAGCACUUUGAAAACUGCAUAUAUAUAUUUAGUGAUAUGACAUCUAAUUUGGAAUAUAGAAAGCUGAUAACUUUUGAAAAUUAUCCAAGUUGAUAGCUUCUAAUCUAUAUAACCUUUUUAACUGGUCAA